AUUGAACGCUGGCGGCAGGCCUAACACAUGCAAGUCGAGCGAGCGGCGGACGGGUUAGUAAUGUCUGGGAAACUGCCUGAUGGAGGGGGCUAACUACUGGAAACGGUAGCUAAUACCGCAUACCAUCAGAUGUGCCCAGAUGGGAUUAGCUAGUAGGUGGGGUAAAGGCUCCCCUAGGCGACGAUCCCUAGCUGGUAUGAGCGGAUGACCAGCAAAACUGGAACGCAGAAACGGUCCAGACUCCUACGGGAGGCAGCAGUGGGGAAUAUUGUACAAUGGGCGCAAGCCUGAUGCAGCCAUGCCGCGUGGAUGAAGAAGGCCUUCGGGUUGUAAAGUACUUUCAGCGGGGAGGCGUUACCCGCAGAAGAAGCACCGGCUAACUCCGUGCCAGCAGCCGCGGUAAUAC
rnacentral:rRNA from 1 species